rnacentral:rRNA from 1 species
CCUGUGAAGGUGUACUGUGAGGUAUGCUGGAGGUAUCAGAAGUGCGAAUGCUGACAUAAGUAACGAUAAAGCGGGUGAAAAGCCCGCUCGCCGGAAGACCAAGGGUUCCUGUCCAACGUUAAUCGGGGCAGGGUGAGUCGACCCCUAAGGCGAGGCCGAAAGGCGUAGUCGAUGGGAAACAGGUUAAUAUUCCUGUACUUGGUGUUACUGCGAAGGGGGGACGGAGAAGGCUAUGUUGGCCGGGCGACGGUUGUCCCGGUUUAAGCGUGUAGGCUGGUUUUCCAGGCAAAUCCGGAAAACUAAGGCUGAGGCGUGAUGACGAGGCACUACGGUGCUGAAGCAACAAAUGCCCUGCUUCCAGGAAAAGCCUCUAAGCAUCAGGUAACAUCAAAUCGUACCCCAAACCGACACAGGUGGUCAGGUAGAGAAUACCAAGGCGCUUGAGAGAACUCGGGUGAAGGAACUAGGCAAAAUGGUGCCGUAACUUCGGGAGAAGGCACGCUGAUAUGUAGGUGAAGUCCCUCGCGGAUGGAGCUGAAAUCAGUCGAAGAUACCAGCUGGCUGCAACUGUUUAUUAAAAACACAGCACUGUGCAAACACGAAAGUGGACGUAUACGGUGUGACGCCUGCCCGGUGCCGGAAGGUUAAUUGAUGGGGUCAGCGCAAGCGAAGCUCUUGAUCGAAGCCCCGGUAAACGGCGGCCGUAACUAUAACGGUCCUAAGGUAGCGAAAUUCCUUGUCGGGUAAGUUCCGACCUGCACGAAUGGCGUAAUGAUGGCCAGGCUGUCUCCACCCGAGACUCAGUGAAAUUGAACUCGCUGUGAAGAUGCAGUGUACCCGCGGCAAGACGGAAAGACCCCGUGAACCUUUACUAUAGCUUGACACUGAACAUUGAGCCUUGAUGUGUAGGAUAGGUGGGAGGCUUUGAAGUGUGGACGCCAGUCUGCAUGGAGCCGACCUUGAAAUACCACCCUUUAAUGUUUGAUGUUCUAACGUUGACCCGUAAUCCGGGUUGCGGACAGUGUCUGGUGGGUAGUUUGACUGGGGCGGUCUCCUCCUAAAGAGUAACGGAGGAGCACGAAGGUUGGCUAAUCCUGGUCGGACAUCAGGAGGUUAGUGCAAUGGCAUAAGCCAGCUUGACUGCGAGCGUGACGGCGCGAGCAGGUGCGAAAGCAGGUCAUAGUGAUCCGGUGGUUCUGAAUGGAAGGGCCAUCGCUCAACGGAUAAAAGGUACUCCGGGGAUAACAGGCUGAUACCGCCCAAGAGUUCAUAUCGACGGCGGUGUUUGGCACCUCGAUGUCGGCUCAUCACAUCCUGGGGCUGAAGUAGGUCCCAAGGGUAUGGCUGUUCGCCAUUUAAAGUGGUACGCGAGCUGGGUUUAGAACGUCGUGAGACAGUUCGGUCCCUAUCUGCCGUGGGCGCUGGAGAACUGAGGGGGGCUGCUCCUAGUACGAGAGGACCGGAGUGGACGCAUCACUGGUGUUCGGGUUGUCAUGCCAAUGGCACUGCCCGGUAGCUAAAUGCGGAAGAGAUAAGUGCUGAAAGCAUCUAAGCACGAAACUUGCCCCGAGAUGAGUUCUCCCUGACUCCUUGAGAGUCCUGAAGGAACGUUGAAGACGACGACGUUGAUAGGCCGGGUGUGUAAGCGCAGCGAUGCGUUGAGCUAACCGGUACUAAUGAACCGUGAGGCUUAACCUU